rnacentral:rRNA from 14 species
CUAAGUCGAGGCAGAAAUGCGUAGACGAUGGGAAUCAGGUUAAUAUUCCUGAGCCAGGAGGAUGUGACGGAUUGCGACGGUUGUCCCCCCUUAUCGGAUUGGGUGGGCCGCUUAGCAGUUCCUGGAAAUAGCCCUCCAUCAGACCGUACCCUAAACCGACACAGGUGGACUGGUAGAGAAUACCAAGGCGCUUGAGAGAACGAUGUUGAAGGAACUCGGCAAAAUACCUCCGUAAGUUCGCGAGAAGGAGGCCCGGUACACGACUACCGGGGGCACAAACCAGGGGGUGGCGACUGUUUAUUAAAAACACAGGGCUCUGCGAAGUCGCAAGACGACGUAUAGGGUCUGACGCCUGCCCGGUGCCGGAAGGUUAAAAGGAGAGGUGAGAGCUUUGAAUUGAAGCCCCGGUAAACGGCGGCCGUAACAAUAACGGUCCUAAGGUAGCGAAAUUCCUUGUCGGGUAAGUUCCGACCUGCACGAAUGGCGUAACGACUUCCCCGCUGUCUCCAACAUCGACUCAGCGAAAUUGAAUUGCCUGUCAAGAUGCAGGCUUCCCGCGGUUAGACGGAAAGACCCCGUGCACCUUCACUACAGCUUCGCACUGGCAUCAGGCACAACAUGUGCAGGAUAGGUGGUAGGCUUUGAAGCAGGGACGCCAGUCCCUGUGGAGCCUCCCUUGAGAUACCACCCUUGUUCUGCUUGAUGUCUAACCGCGGCCCGUUAUCCGGGUCCGGGACCGUGCGUGGUGGGUAGUUUGACUGGGGCGGUCGCCUCCUAAAGCGUAACGGAGGCGCGCGAAGGUUGGCUCAGAGCGGUCGGAAAUCGCUCGUUGAGUGCAAUGGCAGAAGCCAGCCUGACUGCAAGACUGACAAGUCGAGCAGAGUCGAAAGACGGCCAUAGUGAUCCGGUGGUCCCAAGUGGGAGGGCCAUCGCUCAACGGAUAAAAGGUACGCCGGGGAUAACAGGCUGAUACUGCCCAAGAGUCCAUAUCGACGGCAGUGUUUGGCACCUCGAUGUCGGCUCGUCUCAUCCUGGGGCUGGAGCAGGUCCCAAGGGUAUGGCUGUUCGCCAUUUAAAGAGGUACGUGAGCUGGGUUUAGAACGUCGUGAGACAGUUCGGUCCCUAUCUGCCGUGGGUGUAGGAUACUUGAGAGGAGUUGCCCCUAGUACGAGAGGACCGGGGUGAACGAUCCACUGGUGGACCUGUUGUUGCGCCAGCAGCAGUGCAGGGUAGCUAUGAUCGGACAGGAUAACCGCUGAAGGCAUCUAAGCGGGAAGCCCCCCUCAAAACAAGGUAUCCCUGAGGACCGUGGAAGACCACCACGUCGAUAGGCCGGAGAUGUAAGCGCAGCAAUGCGUUCAGUUGACCGGUACUAAUGGCC